rnacentral:lncRNA from 10 species
AUGGGGUGUAUACUGACCUGUUGUAUCAACUCCAGCUGUGGCUGGUGCAGGGGGGAGGAGGAAACCUGUUAUGAAUCUGAUAUUUAUGAGGCUGUGGCUGCUGCAACAUCAGAAUCCACUACUGUAGAGCCUGGCAAGCUGGAUGUGGGAGCCACCGAGGGCCGCGACCUGCAGCACAUCAGCAACCAAAAGAUGCCCACAGGUCCCCCUGAGGACAGCCUGAGUUUAAAAUCUCUACCACCAAGUGAGGAAGACAAUGAUGAUGCCCAGAUUUUACCAUCACGUGUGCAGGGUUCUUCUGAGGACAACCUGAGUUUAGUAAGCCUACCACGAAGUGAAGAUGAUGAUUUGGAUGAUUUGGAUGAUGAUGAUGAUGCCCAGAUUUUACCAUUGCCUGACCAGGCUCGUCCUGAGGACGACCUGUUUUUAAGAUGCUCACCGCAACAUAAAGAUGAAGAUGAUAAUGAUGAUGGUGAUGUCCAGGUAAGAUCCCCCUUUUUUGUCUUCUACAGCAAUGUUGCUUUCCUGAUUCUUUACUUCUCAAUUAAUUUUGAUUUGAAAACCUGGCAAUGUACAUUAUGUACACUGUACACUAUUGUCUUUGUGGGGCUGGAAUUCAGUAAGCAUACAUGAUCCACUUUGCUGCUUCUAAAUGACAGCAUCCAGUAUCAACUGGAAUACUAAGGCAUUUUCCACAAUACCAGUUUUCCUCCUUGGAUUAAGCAUUGUGCAUUGGCAUAUAAAAUUAAAUUUAAAGGUAAAUUCUGUGAAUAGAGGUCUUGUUUUUCUAUAGCUAUCUUCUGUGCUAGUCUUUGGGGAUUUUGACCUAUGGCUCAAUCACUGUACUGCCUUCUGGUUUUUUAUCAUUGUCCAGAGAAUAACAGAUCUGUGUGAAGCGCACAGCAGAAUCUGAUUCUCAUGUUUUCUUUUAUAUAAUUGCAGAUAACAGCUUGGCUUAAAGAAAGAGGUAUGUACCAUGAAAUAACUCACUUAUAGAGGGAAAAACUUGCUAGCUUCAGUGUAUAGAAACCUGAUUCUGGGUUCCUGCUGGGAAAGAGGCUUGGGGUUCUCAUGAAAGUGAUUUUGCCGGUAUAGAACUCUGGCCCGAGGAGCUGUAGGGAGGUUUGUCAACCCAGAAGAAAGAUGAGGGGAUCAUGUAUGAAGCAGCGGGGGGUGGGAGAAUAGCCCAUCAAUCAGCUUCAGCUAAAGUAGGAGGAGUGGGCGAGUCACUCUCUCUAAUGACUUAUCCUGGUGUUUUUCUUUCUAAAGACUUGACACUGGAGAGUAUAAGUGAUGAGGAGACUCAUCCAG